rnacentral:rRNA from 1 species
GACGAACGCUGGCGGCACGCCUAACACAUGCAAGUCGAACGGUGACGAGGACUUCGGUCCUCUGAUCAGUGGCGGACGGGUGAGUAACACGUGAGCAACCUGCCUUUCAGUGGGGGACAACAGUUGGAAACGACUGCUAAUACCGCAUAAUGUCAUUCUAGGGCAUCCUUAAAUGACCAAAGAUUUAUUGCUGAAAGAUGGGCUCGCGUCUGAUUAGAUAGUUGGUGAGGUAACGGCUCACCAAGUCGACGAUCAGUAGCCGGACUGAGAGGUUGAACGGGCCACAUUGGGACGGUGAGACGGACGCCCAG